AACCCAUCCGAGCAUAAAUUAUUGUGCUAUGAUUUCAGGUUCUCAGGAGAUGGAAGGCAGUAAUGAAAAUUCUGAAGAAAACAAUGAAGAUUCCCUGCAGACUGAUGGUGUAACAGAAAAUACCGUACAGGCCAAGCGCUGGUACAGCUGUCGUCACUAUACCUGGGGGAAUAAAUGUGUAACACGU